rnacentral:rRNA from 1 species
AUUGAACGCUGGCGGCAUGCUUUACACAUGCAAGUCGAACGGCAGCGCGGGCUUCGGCCUGGCGGCGAGUGGCGAACGGGUGAGUAAUACAUCGGAACGUGCCCAGUAGUGGGGGAUAGCUCGGCGAAAGCCGGAUUAAUACCGCAUACGACCUGAGGGUGAAAGCGGGGGAUCUUCGGACCUCGCGCUAUUGGAGCGGCCGAUGGCAGAUUAGCUAGUUGGUGGGGUAAAGGCCUACCAAGGCGACGAUCUGUAGCUGGUCUGAGAGGACGACCAGCCACACUGAGACUGAGACACGGCCCAGACUCCUACGGGAGGCAGCAGUGGGGAAUUUUGGACAAAGGGCGAAAGCCUGAUCCAGCAAUGCCGCGUGUGUGAUGAAGGCCUUCGGGUUGUAAAGCACUUUUGGCGGGAACGAAAAGGACUGUGCCAAUACCACGGUUCGAUGACGGUACCCGCAGAAUAAGCACCGGCUAACUACGUG